GACGAACGCUGGCGGCGUGCUUAACACAUGCAAGUCGAACGAUGAAGCCGGAGCUUGCUCUGGUGAAUUAGUGCGAACGGGUGAGUAACACGCGAGUAACCUGCCCUUGACUCUGGGAUAACUGCGGGAAACUGUAGCUAAUACCGGAUACGACCCUCGGAGGCAUCUCCUGGGGGUGGAAAGAAUUUCGGUCAAGGAUGGACUCGCGGCCUAUCAGCUAGUUGGUGAGGUAAAGGCUCACCAAGGCGACGACGGGUAGCCGGCCUGGGAGGGCGACCGGCCACACUGGGACUGAGACACGGCCCAGACUCCUACGGGAGGCAGCAGUGGGGAAUAUUGCACAAUGGGCGCAAGCCUGAUGCAGCAACGCCGCGUGAGGGAUGACGGCCUUCGGGUUGUAAACCUCUUUUAGCAGGGAAGAAGCGAAAGUGACGGUACCUGCAGAAAAAGCACCGGCUAACUACGUGCCAGCCGCCGCAGUAA
rnacentral:rRNA from 1 species